rnacentral:tRNA from 1 species
GGGGUUGUAGCUCAGUGGUAGAGCAUUUGCCUCGCAAGCAUGAGGCACUCGGUUUGAUCCUCAGCACCCCA